GAUGAACGCUGGCGGCGUGCCUAAUACAUGCAAGUCGAGCGAACAGAUGAGGAGCUUGCUCCUCUGACGUUAGCGGCGGACGGGUGAGUAACACGUGGAUAACCUACCUAUAAGACUGGGAUAACUUCGGGAAACCGGAGCUAAUACCGGAUAAUAUAUUGAACCGCAUGGUUCAAUAGUGAAAGACGGUUUUGCUGUCACUUAUAGAUGGAUCCGCGCCGCAUUAGCUAGUUGGUAAGGUAACGGCUUACCAAGGCGACGAUGCGUAGCCGACCUGAGAGGGUGAUCGGCGACACUGGAACUGAGACGCGGUCCAGACUCCUACGGGAGGCAGCAGUAGGGAAUCUUACGCAAUGGGCGAAAGCCUGACGGAGCAACGCCGCGUGAGUGAUGAAGGUCUUCGGAUCGUAAAACUCUGUUAUUAGGGAAGAACAAAUGUGUAAGUAACUAUGCACGUCUUGACGGUACCUAAUCAGAAAGCCACGGCUAACUACGUG
rnacentral:rRNA from 1 species